rnacentral:rRNA from 1 species
AGUGAACGCUGGCGGUAGGCCUAACACAUGCAAGUCGAACGGCAGCACAGUAAGAGCUUGCUCUUACGGGUGGCGAGUGGCGGACGGGUGAGGAAUACAUCGGAAUCUACUUUUUCGUGGGGGAUAACGUAGGGAAACUUACGCUAAUACCGCAUACGACCUACGGGUGAAAGCAGGGGAUCUUCGGACCUUGCGCGAUUGAAUGAGCCGAUGUCGGAUUAGCUAGUUGGCGGGGUAAAGGCCCACCAAGGCGACGAUCCGUAGCUGGUCUGAGAGGAUGAUCGGCCACAGUGGAACUGAGACACGGGCCAGACUCCGAAGGGAGGCAGCAGUGGGGAAUAUUCGGCAAUGGGCGCAAGCCUGAUCCAGCCAUACCGCGUGGGUGAAGAAGGCCUUCGGGUUGUGGAGCCCUUUGGUUGGGGAAGAGAAGCAGCAGGUUAAUACCGCGCAGUUCUGACGGUACCCAAAGAAUAAGCACCGGCUAACUUCGUG